AUUGAACGCUGGCGGAAUGCUUUACACAUGCAAGUCGAGCGGCAGCGCGGCCUUCGGGCUGGCGGCGAGCGGCGAACGGGUGAGUAAUGCAUCGGAACAUGCCCAGUCGUGGGGGAUAACACUUCGAAAGAAGUGCUAAUACCGCAUACGUCCUGAGGGGGAAAGCGGGGGAUCGCAAGACCUCGCGCGAUUGGAGUGGCCGAUGUCAGAUUAGCUAGUUGGUGGGGUAAAGGCCUACCAAGGCGACGAUCUGUAGCUGGUCUGAGAGGAUGAUCAGCCAAACCUGGACUUAGACCAGGGCCCGACUCCUAAGGGAGGGCGCAGUGGGGAAGUUUGGACAAUGGGGGGAACCCUUGUCCCAGCAAUCCGCGUGGAUUAAGGAGGGCUUCGGGUCGUAAAGCUCUUUCGGCAGGAACGAAACGGUGGGCUCUAACAUAGUCCGCUAAUGACGGUACCUGAAGAAGAAGCACCGGCUAACUACGUG
rnacentral:rRNA from 1 species